AAGCUAUUUAGUUUAUUUAAAAUGUUUAUUUGUGGUGUAAAAGAUUAAUUAGCUA
rnacentral:tRNA from 1 species